UACAGAGGGUGCAAGCGUUAAUCGGAAUUACUGGGCGUAAAGCGUGUGUAGGUGGUUAGGUAAGUUAGAUGUGAAAUCCCUGGGCUCAACCUGGGAACUGCGUUUAAAACUGCUUGACUAGAGUACUGUAGAGGAUAGUGGAAUUUCCAGUGUAGCGGUGAAAUGCGUAGAUAUUGGAAGGAACACCAGUGGCGAAGGCGACUAUCUGGAUAGAUACUGACACUGAGACACGAAAGCGUGGGGAGCAAAC
rnacentral:rRNA from 1 species